rnacentral:rRNA from 1 species
CCUACGGGAGGCAGCAGUGGGGGAUAUUGCACAAUGGGGGGAACCCUGAUGCAGCGACGCCGCGUGGGUGAAGAAGCGCCUCGGCGCGUAAAGCCCUGUCAGCAGGGAAGAAAAAGACGGUAACUGAAGAAGAAGCCCCGGCUAAAUACGGGCCAGCAGCCGCGGGAAUACGUAGGGGGCAAGCGUUAUCCGGAUUUACUGGGUGUAAAGGGGGCGCAGACGGCGAUGCAAGCCAGGAGUGAAAGCCCGGGGCCCAACCCCGGGACUGCUCUUGGAACUGCGUGGCUGGAGUGCAGGAGAGGCAGGCGGAAUUCCUGGUGUAGCGGUGAAAUGCGUAGAUAUCAGGAGGAACACCAGUGGCGAAGGCGGCCUGCUGGACUGCAACUGACGUUGAGGCCCGAAAGCGUGGGGAGCAAACAGGAUUAGAUACCCCGGUAGUC